GUGCUCGCUUCGGCAGCACAUAUACUAAAAUUGGACUGAUACAGAGAAGAUUAGCGUGGCCCCUGCACAAGGAUGACAUGCAAAUUUGUGAAGUGUUCCAUAUUUUU
rnacentral:snRNA from 1 species